rnacentral:piRNA from 1 species
UUCCGUUUUGUUUUUACUCGC